GACGAACGCUAGCUACAGGCUUAACACAUGCAAGUCGAGGGGUAACGAGAGGAAAGCUUGCUUUCCCUGUCGACGACCGGCGCACGGGUGAGUAACGCGUAUCCAACCUGCCCCCACCUAGGGAAUAACCUUGCGAAAGUAAGACUAAUACCCUAUAAUUUCCUCAGAUGUCAUCUGACGAGGACUAAAGAUUUAUCGGUGGUGGAUGGUGAUGCGUCUGAUUAGCUUGUUGGCGGGGUAACGGCCAACCAAGGCAACGAUCAUUAGGGGUUCUGGGAGGAAGGGCCCCCGCAUUGAAACUGAGACACGGUCCAACCUCUUACGGGAGGCAGCAGUGAGUAAUAUUGGACAAUGGGCGCAAGCCUGAUCCAGCCAUACCGCCGGCAGAAUGAAGGCCUUCGGGUUGUAAACUGCUUUUGUACGGAACGAAACGGCUCUCUCGAAUACAGGGGGCUAAUGACGGUACCGUAAGAAUAAGCACCGGCUAACUACGUGCCAGCAGCCGCGGUAA
rnacentral:rRNA from 1 species